rnacentral:rRNA from 1 species
ACUCAAAUGAAUAGACGGGGACCCGCACAAGCAGCGGAGCGUGUGGUUUAAUUCGAUGCAACGCGAAAAACCUUACCAGGGCUUGACAUGUAGUUGCACCAUCUGUUAUGGGAUGUCCGAGCGAUCGGCGAUUACACAGGUGCUGCAUGGCUGUCGUCAGCUCGUGUCGUGAGAUGUUGGGUUCAGUCCCGCAACGAGCGCAACCCCUGCCGCUAGUUAGAAGAUCUAGCGGGACUGCCGCGCAGAACGCGGAGGAAGGCGGGGAUGACGUCAAGUCAGCACGGCCCUGACGCCCUGGGCGACACACACGCUACAAUGGCCGGAACAACGGGCCGCCAACCAGCAAUGGGGAGCCAAUCCCAUCAAAUCCGGUCUCAGUUCAGAUUGCAGGCUGCAACUCGCCUGCAUGAAGGAGGAGUUGCUAGUAACCGUGGGUCAGCAUACCACGGUGAAUACGUUCCCGGGUCUUGCACACACCGCCCGU